UACUGAAGGUGCAAGCGUUAAUCGGAAUUACUGGGCGUAAAGCGCGCGUAGGCGGUUUGUUAAGUUGGAUGUGAAAGCCCAGGGCUCAACCUUGGAACUGCAUCCGAUACUGGCAGGCUAGAAUAUAGGAGAGGGAGGUAGAAUUUCAGGUGUAGCGGUGAAAUGCGUAGAGAUCUGAAGGAAUACCAGUGGCGAAGGCGGAGCCUCCUCGGCCCUAAGUAUUGAACGCUGAGGUGCGGAAAGUGAUGGGUAGGCGAACAAGGAUUAGAUACCCCCGUACGUCC
rnacentral:rRNA from 1 species